UGUGAUGUGUAUCAAUUCAUGAUUUAAAUGAAAUUUGUUCACAAUAUGCGCUUUUGUACAACAUAGGUGGCGGCUAGUUAGUCAGUUCAAUUUUCCCGCCUGGUCUUAUGAGUUACCUCAGGUCAGACGUCGCCUAUCUUUUUCUGCCUGACAGUAGUUGCCUCAGGCGGCGCCCGGUUAAUGUUGGUCCGUCAUUGUUAUCACUCCGGUGGCGGCAAGUUAGUCAUUUCAAUUUUCCUGCUUCGUCUUCUUUUU